GGCUGGGCCCUGUGCGACAGAAUCCUGCAAACCCCGCCAGGUCCGGAAGGAAGCAACGGUAAGUGGGCUAGUCUGUGUGCCGCAGGAUCACCUGGCCCCG
rnacentral:SRP_RNA from 1 species